AGAGUUUGAUCAUGGCUCAGGACGAACGCUGGCGGCGUGCUUCACACAUGCAAGUCGAACGAGGUUCAACCGGUCGCAAGACCGGUGAAGACCUAGUGGCGAACGGGUGCGUAACACGUGAGGAACCUGUCCCGGUCUCCGGAAUAACAAGUGGAAACACUUGCUAAUACUGGAUGACGUCGGAUCAUCGCAUGAUGAUCUGACGAAAGGGUUACCGGAUCGGGAGGGUCUCGCGGCCUAUCAGCUCGUUGGUGGGGUAACGGCCCACCAAGGCUUCGACGGGUAGCUGGUCUGAGAGGAUGAUCAGCCACACUGGGACUGAGACACGGCCCAGACUCCUACGGGAGGCAGCAGUGGGGAAUCUUGCACAAUGGGCGAAAGCCUGAUGCAGCAACGCCGCGUGCGGGAGGAAGGCCUUAGGGUUGUAAACCGCUUUCAGCAGGGAAGAAAUGACGGUCCCUGUAGAAGAAGGUGCGGCCACUACGUGCCAGCAGCCGCGGUG
rnacentral:rRNA from 1 species